GAAAACAUCAUCAAAGGUAGAGGCUGGACAGGAGUGGAGAAAAAGAAUCCAGCCUUAAGAAAGGCAACUCAGAGGGAGAGCUAGAGAAGGAAGCGACAGUUAACGGCACUGAUUAAUCUCGAUUGUCAAAUUGGCUGGUUUUCAGGACGCCUGGAGAGGGGAGCGGAGCUGUCCUUCCUUUACCUGGCUUGCCUGAGAUAGCCUGAAUCCAGCCCAGCAUGGAGGGGGGGUCCACACCACCACUGCAGCUCCCUGUCCUGCCAGACCCACCAGUGGCAACCCCAGGAGUAACAAUCAGAAGACAGCAGCAUUGUAUCCUUCAGCACUAAGGGGUGGACUUCCUGGGGCUCAUAGGGAAGAGAGUCAAGAAAACAAAGAAAGGGGGAGCUGGACUUCUAAUGUUCUCAAGCAGCCUUUUUAACUCAGCACAACCUAAUGCCAAAGACACCCGUAAGCCUUUCUGCCAUGUGAGCCGUGGAAUCUAGAUUUGAGCUGUUUCCAUCAUCAGAAACUGGAACGGUACUAAGUAAUGCACCCCUCCCUCAUUCUGCUCUCUAAGGCUUAGAAAAUGAUUCCAAGUUGGCACAGCAGCUCCUCCCCUGUGAAGUAUAAAUCCGUUUCUCAAUGACUUCAUCGCCUACAAAUCCUGGGGCUUUGAUCUCAGUUUGCUCACUAUUGCACGGAAAGGCCACGGAUGUUUAGACCUGCUCAGAAGAUAGCUGUUCCCUGGAACAUGUCCCCGAGUGAACUCUACCGGUUCCAAAGAAAGACACAGGCAAAGGUGCAUCUCCGUGUACAAUCUUCUCCAGCAUCCCUCUGCUCUGGAGAACUAGAUCUCCUCAAACACUGUGCAGCUUUAUGGCCCACAGGAGAAAUACUACUGAAGGUCUGGCCAGGGCCCAACAGUGGUCAGCUGCCCACCGCUCCCUCAGCAGCUGCUGUGCUCCCCUCGCUGAACUCCAAUCACCUUCUGGGUCCCUGCAGCCUCCCCCUCCAGCCCGCAGAGGCUUCUGUUACAGCUGAGCAAAAGCUGAUGAAUUUAAAAGCAAAGACAAGACAAAUAUCCGGGCCUCGAACUUCAGCUGAUUAUUCUCACAUUUGUCUCAUCUGCAUUUAUUAAAAUUCAAGUCCUGGGCACUACAUUUUAUCUGAAGAUUCUUUGCUUUAAUUAACAAAAUAUAUGUACGUGUGGCAAGAAUUGAAAUUCUGAGUCUCGCGGGAUAUCAGAGUUAUUCCUUGCUAGCUCCUUCCAAAGUCCUCCACUGUCACUUUGAUAUUGCUAAGAAAGUGUCAUUUUGGAAGAGGAUAAGAUUCUCAGGAGACCAAGGAUAUUUUUUUAGGACUUAUUUCAAGAAACCUGUUUAUUAAAUCUAGCAUCUAAUAAGAAGUCCUGUAUUGUUUCUCUUACUUUCAAUAAAUUGGUUAUUAAAGAA